ensembl:lncRNA
AUAUGCUGUUCUGCAUUUACAAAAUAGAUUAUAUUGACUCCUUCAGUAAGUUGUUGUAAUUUCUUUGUUACCAUAAUUAAUUACUCAUAUUCUCCGGCCCCUUAUUUUGCCUCAGUUUCAUGAACCGGCCCCAAUUCCAAAUGAAUUGAAUAUCCCUGUCCUAGAGCUUCAUCAACAAGGUGGAACUUUCACAGUCGUGCUGUUAACACCAUUUUUGAGCACAAGGACGAUCUCCUGAAAUAUUUUCGGACCAUCAGAGAGAAUGGUGAAUUUGAUGCAACAACUGUGAGAGAGGCUGGGGGUUUUGAGAGGUUGCUGGAAGAUGAAGAUUUUAGUUUUUUUCUUGCAUUUUUUCAUAAGAUCAUGUAGACAUGCUGUUUAACCAGCUGCAAAAGAGGAACAUCGACUCUGUCUACAUCACAGGAGUCAUUCAGAGGUUCACCAACAGCAUACAAGCUAUCAGCAGCCAUCCACAAAGAAACGGAAGGCCCUAGGCCAAGAGGAGCAGCACCGGUUAGCUACAGAGGUCGUUUGUACUGCCACGGAUUACGACCCACUGGAGCGUAUCAAGCGCCUCUACAGGUCGCGGGAGUACAACAGAGGACGGGCAAGCAACCAGAGUUCCUGAGUGUUUGGAAUGUCGGGCAUCACGGAGGACAGGCGGAGACCCAUUUUCAAGAUAGUGUCUCACCGCUCAACCAGUCAUCUCCUCCCCAUCAUAAAUAAGCAUAUUCGUCAAGGAAGCUCCAUCCUUUCAGAUGGAUGGAGUUCAAACUGCCAUCUUCAUGAUGAAGGUUACAAUCAUCUAACUGUUAACCAUAGAGAAUAUUCUGUUGAUCCAAUUACAGGUGCACAUACACAAAGCCUGGAGCAACUUUGGGGAGUGUGCAAUCAACUCUAUGGAGACUAAAAGGAAACUGUAAACAAAAUAAACUAUUCAACAUCGAAGAUCCCUUAGAGAUGUUAUUGAGUGGACCUACUGGCGUUGUAACCACCACAGACCUGGACAACUGGGGACGCUUUUCCAUGACAUACGAAAAAAAUGGUCAGAGAUCAAUUUAUGUUAAAUGUUUAUCUUUUUUUGUUUGCUCAUGUAAUGCAUUGUAAGCAGCUCUGUGUUGUUACUGACGUUGAUGCACAAGCCUAUAGUUAUGUUAUGCUUAAAAUUAAAUAUUUGCCCUGGGGACCUGGUUUUGUCUUUGUACGUUUUUUUGGUUGAGUGCAGUAACCUGAAU